AUUGAACGCUGGCGGCAUGCUUUACACAUGCAAGUCGAACGGCAGCGCGGGCUUCGGCCUGGCGGCGAGUGGCGAACGGGUGAGUAAUACAUCGGAACGUGCCCAGUAGUGGGGGAUAGCUCGGCGAAAGCCGGAUUAAUACCGCAUACGACCUUAGGGGGAAAGCGGGGGAUCUUCGGACCUCGCGCUAUUUGAGCGGCCGAUGGCAGAUUAGCUAGUUGGUGGGGUAAAGGCCUACCAAGGCGACGAUCUGUAGCUGGUCUGAGAGGACGACCAGCCACACUGGGACUGAGACACGGCCCAGACUCCUACGGGAGGCAGCAGUGGGGAAUUUUGGACAAUGGGCGAAAGCCUGAUCCAGCAAUGCCGCGUGUGUGAUGAAGGCCUUCGGGUUGUAAAGCACUUUUGGCGGGAACGAAAAGGACUGUGCCAAUACCACGGUUCGAUGACGGUACCCGCAGAAUAAGCACCGGCUAACUACGUG
rnacentral:rRNA from 1 species